AUGAAAUGCAGCUGGAUCAUCCUCUUCUUGAUGGCACUAGCUACACGUGUCUACUCAGGAGUACAGCUGCAGAAGUCUGGGCCUGAGCUUGUAAUUCCUUGGUCCUCAGUCAAGUUGUCUUGCAAGGCUUCUGACUAUACCUUUACAGAUUCCUAUAUUUACUGGUUGAAGCAGAGGCCUGAACAGAGCCUGGAAUGGAAAGAAAGUAUUGAUUCUGAGGAUGGUGAAAAUGUAUACGCUCAGAAGUUCCAAAGCAAGGCCACACUGACUGCAGAUACAUCUUCCAACACAGUCCACAUGCAAUUCAGCAGCCUGACAUCUGAGGACGCUGCAACCUAUUUUAUUUCAAAGCAAAUGGCAACAGUAAGAGAUACAGCAUUGCUGGAGUAG